GGCGAACGGGUGCGUAACGCGUGGGAACCUGCCCUUAGGUUCGGAAUAACAGUUAGAAAUGACUGCUAAUGCCGGAUAAUGUCUUCGGACCAAAGAUUUAUCGCCUUUGGAUGGGCCCGCGUAGGAUUAGGUAGUUGGUGAGGUAAAGGCUCACCAAGCCGACGAUCCUUAGCUGGUCUGAGAGGAUGAUCAGCCACACUGGGACUGAGACACGGCCCAGACUCCUACGGGAGGCAGCAGUAGGGAAUAUUGGACAAUGGGCGAAAGCCUGAUCCAGCAAUGCCGCGUGAGUGAUGAAGGCCUUAGGGUUGUAAAGCUCUUUUACCAGGGAUGAUAAUGACAGUACCUGGAGAAUAAGCUCCGGCUAACUCCGUGCCAGCAGCCGCGGUAAUACGGAGGGAGCUAGCGUUGUUCGGAAUUACUGGGCGUAAAGCGCGCGUAGGCGGCUUUUCAAGUCAGGGGUGAAAUCCCGGGGCUCAACCCCGGAACUGCCCUUGAAACUGGAUGGCUAGAAUACUGGAGAGGUGAGUGGAAUUCCGAGUGUAGAGGUGAAAUUCGUAGAUAUUCGGAAGAACACCAGUGGCGAAGGCGACUCACUG
rnacentral:rRNA from 1 species